rnacentral:rRNA from 1 species
CUCCCUUCUGGUAAAGCACCAGGCCCUGAUGGGUUCACAGCUGACUUCCUUAAGCACUGUUGGAGUUUGAUCAAAGAGGAUCUCAUCUGUACUUUCAACCAAUUGUUCUCCCUCAGAGGGAAGAGGUGGUUCAUGCUGAACUCUGCCCACAUAACCCUAAUACCCAAGUCUACUGAUGCUACUAGAGUCAAGGACUUACGGCCGAUCAGUCUGAUGCAUUCUAUUGCAAAGAUCCUUUGUAAACUGCUGUCCAACAGGCUGGCUCCCUUUCUGCAUCAGAUCAUCCCCUCUCCGCAGAGUGCUUUCAUCAAGAAUCAUUUGAUCCAAGACAAUUUUCUUUAUGUCAGGAAUGCUUUUCGAAAGCUGCAGAAGAAUAAGGACCCGGCAUUGCUGCUCAAAUUGGAUAUUGUAGGACCUUUUGAUAAUGUGCGCUGGAGUUACUUGCUUGAACUUAUGUCUAGGCUGGGUUUUGGUCAGAGCUGGUGUGAUCUAAUUGCUCUGCUCUGGUCGUCUGCCUCCUCUAGGAUUUUGGUCAUCGGAGAACUGGGUCUGCACUUCCACCAAAAAAGGGGAUUAAGACAGGGAGACCCACUCUCCCCGAUGCUAUUCAUAAUUGCAAUUGCAGCUCUACACUGGUUAUUUGCAAAGGCCUGUUCUGUUGGAGCUCUCACCAACCUUCGUCUGCCUCCUCAGCUCAGAGCUAGCCUUUACGCUGACGACGCAGCUCUAUUCGUCUCCCAAAUUAUCGCCUGA